GGCAUUUUAUGACCUUUAUCCACAGUUCAAUGUGCUUAUAUGUCUCUAUAACUGCAUGGUGCUGUUUAGUUAAACUUCACCCUACAGAAUGUAACAAAGACACAUUUCUGUGAUUAAAUGGUUCAUUUCCUCUGGUGUUCAUUCAGGCUGUCCUUGAGGCGCCCGACACUGUAGUUCUAACAAGGUUAGAGUAAACAGCCUUCCUGUCCCAUUCAGAUUUUCCCACAGAGUCCAAAGCACACAUUACCGAAAGCUAAGAUGAAGGUUUUCUUAUACUCAGAAGAUUAACUCUCAUUAAGAAACUAUUAGAAUCCGGGUCAUACAAGAAAUUAAAUCCAAAUAUACAUUCUUCUACAAAGAUUAGCAAAAAAAGCUGCAAUGCAGACAUCAGAGGUCAUUAGAACAGCGAUGUAAAUGAUUCAAAAGUUGUUCGACUUAAUUUUCCUUCUGUUGUUUCCACUUAGAAACAAAGCAAAGUUAAUGAGCUGGUUUUAAAACUGUAGUCAUUUCAAUGAGGUCAAUGAGGGACAUUACAGAGUCAUUUACUAUAUAAGUUAAAGUCAGCCUCUCAUAUUUUCCUUGCUACUUGUGUCGUUAUACAGUACUGCAUCACAUUAACUGUGAAAUUUAGGGGUAGAUACCUGGUACAUGAUACUUCCCAGCACACGGAUUAUGAAAUGAAAUAACAGCCGCUACAAAAACACUGACAUACACAUUAAUAACGUCACCAUUAUCCUCAUCAGCGACAACAAUAACAGCAAGAAUUGGUGCAGCAGCAACUGCAACAUCAUCAACAAGAUCAGCAGCAACAACAACAAGAUCAGCAGCAGCAAGAUGAAGAAGAAAAAGAAGAAGAAAAACGUGACUGUAAUGAAAAUAAAUAAAAAUGUGCUCAGCUGCAAAUCCUUUGCGAUCCAUGGCCGUCUAGUGACCCAUAAAUAUUACCAGAUGCAGGAUAUCUUCCCUGAGUUGCUUGAUCCAUGUUGAUGCUCUACGUCUGCUUGGAGCCUUUAUCACCUGAAUGUUCACACACUGCUGUGCUUGGACAGCCUGAAGAUCACCAUGAGACAGCUGUGGAUGAUGCCAAAUGGACACUCUAAAGAGGGCUGUUGAUUUUCUUAUUUGUACAGCCUAAAGACUACACUUGCGAAGAACAGUUUAACCUCAAGUCUAAAUCACCUGAACUGUCAAUAAAACUGUCAAUAAAGUCACUAUGAUACAAUAAUAAUAAUAAUAAUAGUAAUAAAAAAGAAAACAGAUAUUCUUGUACUCAACUUCUUUAAAAAAUAUUCUUAGCAGGGUUUCACUUUAUAGUAUACAGUUAUGGAAGAAGUAAUGAUUUAUAAUCACACU